AGAUGAGUUGAUCACCCUUGAAAGCCUGAAAUUGCUCAAUCAUGACCAGCUCAAGCCGUUUAUUCGUGGGUUAAAAGCCCUCGUGUCAUUUUCUUGGAGAAGGUGAAAAGUCUGUCCAAUGAGGUUGCGUGCACCAAUGAGGUUUCUAUCGAAGAUACCUGUGAUUCUGGUUUCAGUGGAGAUUUUUUGGGCAAUAUUGAAGGUGAUACUAAUGAAAAGGGCAUGUCUGACGAGGAAGCUGGCACUUCAUCUGCAGUUCUUCAGCCCCCUCUGAAAAAGCGAAGAUCUACCAGCAACAAAAGCCUUACUUUUGCCCAGAAAAAAUCAGCAGACUUGACUUUAAAUAAUGCCAUCGACAAUCUUGAUAUUCGUCACGUACUAAAAUCUGACCCCCUUUCAUCCGUGGUGCUCAGUAAUUAUGAAAAAGCAAGUGUGAAAAAGGAAUUAGAUCACACUGAACGAACUUUUGUUGUUCAUACGGUGGCGGCCCACCUUCUUAUUCUGAGUACAAGUUUGAAGGAUGCCCAUUUUAAAACUGUGGCGGGCAAAUUGAUAAAAGUAUUUCCGAAAGAAAAUGAGCUAUUAUUUUGUGUUUUAAUCUUGCAAAGGCAGCAGUGCACUGGGAAGAGCCAGCAAGCAGAGCAGGUGAGCAGCAGCAGCGACUGACACUCAGGUCUCAUCUCCUCUCACAGGCACAUGCAAUCAGACACAGAAACACACAGAAUUUCCCCAGAUUCAGACGGACGGUCUGCCUAUCCUGAGUCGGUAAGGGCGCCGCAAGCAGCUUGCCAACCGUGACGUCAGUUCACACUUGGGUGCAGGGAGAGAUGCCGACUAUCGAGGGGAGACGGUGAGGCACGUUGCAGCAGCAGGCGGUGAGCGAGUAACGCGGAGUAGGGAGGGGCCUGUUCAGGAAGAGGUCAGCGUGCGCGCCUGCAAGCUGUAGCGUAGGCAAGCCCGCACACCACGCACGAACCACGUGGUUGCCUACCUGCAGGCGGACUCAUGGUCCGGUCGGCCACCGCGCGCCUGCUAGCAAUGGCAUAGACCUACGCGUAGCGCAAGUGUGUGUGUGUGUGUUUCCAGGGGCGCGCGUGCGCGCUCCUUGUGGCUCGGUUACUUUUGGUGUAGUUAAGCUCAUCUAUUACGUUGUAAUAUUUCAGCGUUUGACGGUGACUUCUCCUUGCUCUCAGGCACCCUUUUGUAGCUGCAGAGCAUUUUUUUUAGAGGCAUUACUCAUUUGUGCACCUGAUUUUUUGAAAUUUUUGGUUAGAGGCAAUUUUGUUUGAGGCACUUUUCACCUUGGGAAUCAUAUAUUUUGGUUAGAGGCAAUAUCGUUAGAGGCAUUAUUAAAAGUGACACUGAAAUCGAAAAAUCGGGUUAGAGGCAAUAUUGUUAGAGGCAGUGAGCCACCCCCAUAGUGUUCCGCCGGUGCUCCCUCCCCGCCAGGCCUGGUUCCCCCACUCCGAGCGCGAAGCGGCUCCCCCCUCCUCCUCCCCGCCACCUUCCCCCCAAGCCGCUAGCAGUGUGAGCGAGCGCGCAGUAGAGGAGUGGGGGAAGCCGCUCGCUAUAGUUGCGCCUCUGGCGACCCCACAUACCCAACCCACUCCAAUAGGGUACUUCACCUUACGCAAACCGGAUCCAAAGAAGAACAAGAGUUCUUCCUGAAUUCUUUCCUGUAAGGUACGCCAGACGCAGGGCGACCGGCGAUCCUCGACUCUUUGAAUAUCCCGCCGUAUCAGGCCAGACGCAAGCGCCAGCGCGUCGGAACGGCGCAGCCAGGUGGGACAGAGUUAGUUACUCCGAGGGGUCCCCCACUCGCCAACUCGUUGUACACGAGGAGAAAUACUCGCAAGAUACUCGCGACAACUCGCGAAAAAUUCGCGGAUACUCGCUAAUACUCUCGAAUACUCGCGGAUACCCACGCAACUCGUUGUACACCCACUUGGAGAGUGGAGGACCCCAGGACCCCUCGAGUUACUUAUCAGCCGCUGAGACUGUCGGACGAGGCGGGCAACCUGUAUCUCAAGUAGAUUGUUUGUUAACCGACUGUCUUAAGAUUGUUAACACCGCAAAGCUCAACUAUAAACUACUGUGAACUGUGAACCACCGAUUGCAUCAACUGAAAUACAAGUGCUUUGGACUGCAUCAUAUCCGCAAGGCGAGCCGCAUAAGGCGAGCAGCCAGAUAAAUACUAAAAUGAAGACGAAUGGAAUUUUCAAAAUUUUGAGUGAAGCUUUGUUGAUGGAAUUUUCAAAAUUUUGAGUGAAGCUUUGUUGAAGACGAAAAAACAUGCAAGAGUUCUUAGGAAGAGAGCCAUUAUGUGGACGUUACAUUCCUCCUUGGCGCUCACUGGACGAUGCCGACGAAGUUCUCAGACCCGACACUAGGGGUCGACCGCCCUUGCGGCCAGUUCACGAACUUCGUCGGCGUCAGCCAAUCAGAGCAAGGAAGGAAAUAGUUUAGGAAGAACUCUUGUUCUUUCUUUAGUUCCGGUUUGCGUCAAGUGAAAUACCCUAUUCUGGAGGAAGAUUACGGAGCUCCCUGACUGCGAUUCGCCUGCGCCUUCUAAUUGGCCCCCCUCUACCCCCCUCACCCUGUUUCAGGGCGUUUAGAAGGCGCAGGCGAACCGUAGUGAGGGAGCUCCGUAAUGCCCCUCCAGAACCCGAGGCGGAACUAUAGCGAGCGCCCACUGUAACUUGAGGUGAGUUUUGUGCUCACAUAACACAAACAGCAUUUAAAGUGUAAUACAAACAGGAAUAUUUGUACUACGAAUAAACUGCUUUGUAUUGCAAACUAAUCGCGUGUUCAUAGUCACAAAAGGGAACGUUUCUUUGUAGAUACUGUGUCCCUCCGAUGAAACGUGGAACCCACCACCUACCAUUACAGACUUUCCUAUUAUUGAAUUGAUGCAGCCUGAGAUUGCUAUUUGGAAAGUUAAGCAGAACAAUAAAAACAUUUUCACAAAUUUUGCGGCCAUUCGGGUGCGACAUUGACAGAUCCAUCAAUUCCUAUCAUUUAGGCGUAGGCCCGUAUAUGGUAACAGAAACAUCUUCAUUAUUUGUGAAAAUGUAUUUAAUGCAUUUCUAUACUUCUAAAGUAUAUUUAACAGAACUCGGGCUGCAUCAAAACCAGCAAAAUCUGAAAUGAUGGGUGAUAGAUUCCAAGUUCCACCUUUCACUUGGAAGAGUUCAUUACAAGCAAUCCUGUAUGUAUUACAAAUAAAAUGGUCUUAAUGUGAGCACAUAUUUCACCGAAAAUUAGGAAGACUUGGUUGCAAGACUUUUAGAGCACAGCAGCUGUCCAGUGCUCAUUGAAGGACUUGGGACCCCAUUGUGACAUGGCGGAAUUAAGACCAACUUCAAUAGCCAAACAUGAAUUUAUUUUAAACGAAUACAAUGCAUUUAGCAAUUAUAAUACAAAAUAACAAUCGCUGUUCACGACAUUUUGACGGAACUGUCAAAACGGGGACGGUUCCCUCAAAAUCGCUCUUGAAAUCAAAGUAAAAUAUAUUUGAAAAUGGAAAAGGCUAGUACGUAUGAUUUCCCUAGCCCCUUCAAACAUCAGUACAAACACCAUAACCCUAUGCCCAGACAGUCUGUUCUGAUUUGAAAACGCCAGGUACUAAAGCAAUGAGUAAAUUUAAAUUCACUGCACGAAAAUCAGAUCA